CCAAUAGCGUAUAUUAAAGUUGUUGCAGUUAAAAAGCUCGUAGUUGAAUUUUGGAUUCGGCCAAUUGGUCCAUCUUUUAGAUGAGUACUGGUUGUGUUGGGUCUAUCCGCCUGGUGAUACGUAAUGUCCUUUAUUGGAUGUUGCGGGUAGUCAGGACCUUUACCUUGAAAAAAUUAGAGUGUUUAAAGCAGGCUUAUGCCGGAAUACAUUAGCAUGGAAUAAUAGAAUAGGACGAAGUUGUUUUAUUUUGUUGGUUUCUAGGAAAACCGUAAUGAUUAAUAGGGGUAGUUGGGGGCAUUAGUAUUCAAUUGUCAGAGGUGAAAUUCUUGGAUUUAUUGAAGACUAACUACUGCGAAAGCAUUUGCCAAGGAUGUUUUCAUUAAUCAAGAACGAAAGUUAGGGGAUCGAAGACGAUCAGAUACCGUCGUAGUCUUAACCAUAAACUAUGCCGACUAGGGAUCGGGCGAUGUUGUUUCCAUGACUCGCUCGGCACCUUAUG
rnacentral:rRNA from 1 species